rnacentral:lncRNA from 1 species
CUGAUCAUAGGAUUGCCAAUUGGGCAUUGACAGUCCGUUAAGAUCAGUACGUACUGUGUCUUCUCUCAAGGAGAGUGACUAGUCUCGAGUCAUUGGUGUGUGUGACAUCAAGACAAGUACGUAGGUGCUCAAUAGAGAAUAAGUUCACUGAACACGAUCAACGAAGACUUCUCAUAUUCAUGUCACAUGAGAACUCAUGGUUGGGAUAAUGCAAAGUAGUCAUUUGACCUGAGGCAUCGUCGUUGUCUUGUGGUUAAGUCCUUGAUCUUUGAUUAUGUCAAACAUCAUUCCAUUGGAGUGUCCACGGCAUCGUUGGGGUUAAGCCACUUAGCCAUGGAGGCAAGUGAAUGCGCAACAAGGGAUCUCUAACCUUCAAACUGUUUGAGGGAGAAUACUCUAUGAUAUGAUUAGAAUCUCUGGCCAGAGUAUGAAUGAGAUUUAGGAAUGCGUUCCAAAUCACAUUCAAGGUAAUCAUAUAAGC